rnacentral:lncRNA from 1 species
UUACUUUAAAAUUAAACUUUUGGACUCUUCGUCUAUGUACCUAAUAGGCAAAUAAGUUUAUCAGAAGAGUCAAGGCUGCAAAGGCUUCAACCUUAGAGUUGAUCGGAUGGGAUUAUGACUUGGGUAUUAUUACGGUUCUUGAUUUUCUAAGGUUAAGAAUGAAGUUGGUAGUGAUAAAUUGAGCCAUAUUGGUAUGGGAUUAAAAGUCGAGAUAUGAUCGUACGUGUGAUGGUUAUUGUUGAUGAUUAUGUAAGAAGUUGGGUUGUUCACUUGCACAAUUGAAAACAAGGAAAAUGUAAAGAUUACAAAUAAGAAAAGAGAGAAGGGGUUGGCAAAGGAAAGAUGGAGUCUUUCAAGAUUUUAUUUACUUGAGUAGAGAGAGAGAGAGUAAGGGGAGAGAAAGGAAGGUGGAAUCGUAAAAGAAAGAUAAGAUGAUCCAUUAUUGAAAAAAUAAAGAGAUGUUUGAG